GGGAGCUCGGUGGAUAUUCAUAGCCAUAGAAGUAGAAACUGUAAGGACAACAGCAUCAGUCCCAUCGAACAACGUCUGAAAAUAAAAACUCGGAUUUAAAGCCAUGUUUGUAUUGCUGAAAGUGAACACGACUGAAAUGAGAAACAUGAACUAACUUGGCGUCAGACGUGGUACCAGGUCCUGCUUGUUCAGGGAAACUUCGGUUUGGAUGAUGCAUUUUCUUGUCUAAAUGAUAGCACUGCUGAUCUGCAAGUUAUGGUUGUGGAUUUCGAACUUCCGGUCCUGAGGAUGGAUAAAAUGGGUGGUGUCAAAGAAUAAUAUUCCUACUAAAACUGGGUGGACCAUCCAUGGACAACUAUAAAGCAAACGUCAAAUGGUCACUACGUGAUCUCAAUCGCUACCUGGUGGAAGCAUACAUGUACAUGAUAAUUCUUCCUUAUAAGUGAUUUGUCCUACGCGUAUGUUUGAUGUCUGAUACUAA